AACGAACGCUGGCGGCAGGCUCAACACAUGCAAGUCGAGCGCCCCGCAAGGGGAGCGGCAGACGGGUGAGUAACGCGUGGGAACGUACCCUUUGCUACGGAAUAGCUCCGGGAAACUGGAAUUAAUACCGUAUGUGCCCUACGGGGGAAAGAUUUAUCGGCAAAGGAUCGGCCCGCGUUGGAUUAGCUAGUUGGGGGGGUAAUGGCCUACCAAGGCGACGAUCCAUAGCUGGUCUGAGAGGAUGAUCAGCCACAUUGGGACUGAGACACGGCCCAAACUCCUACGGGAGGCAGCAGUGGGGAAUAUUGGACAAUGGGCGCAAGCUUGAUCCAGCCAUGCCGCGUGAGUGAUGAAGGCCUUAGGGUUGUAAAGCUCUUUCACCGGAGAAGAUAAUGACGGUAUCCGGAGAAGAAGCCCCGGCUAACUUCGUGCCAGCCGCCGCCGUAAGAC
rnacentral:rRNA from 1 species